AUUGAACGCUGGCGGCAGGCCUAACACAUGCAAGUCGAACGAGCGGCGGACGGGUGAGUAAUGUAUUGGGACCUGCCCGACAGAGGGGGCUAACUACUGUAAACCGUGGCUAAUACCGCAUACUACCGGAUGUACCCAUAUGGGAUUAUCGAGUAGGUGGGGUAAAGGCUCAGCAAGGCGACGAUCACUAGCUGGUCUGAGAGGAUGAUCGGCCGCACGGGGACGGAGACACGGCCCAGACUCCUACGAGAGGGAGCAGUAGGGAAUAUUGCACAAUGGGCGCAAGCCUGAUACAGCGAUGCCGCGUGAAUGAAGAAGGCCUUAGGGUUGUAAAAUACUUUCGGCGGAGAAGCGUUGUCCACCGAGAGGGCACCGGCUAACUACGUGCCAGCAGCCGCGGUAAUAC
rnacentral:rRNA from 1 species